AAAUCAUCUGGGAAUCUUGUUAAAAUGCAGACUCUGAUUCAGGAGGUCUGGAGAGUCUGCAUGUCUAACAUGCUUCCAAGAGGACACUGAUGCUGCU
rnacentral:miRNA from 1 species